rnacentral:rRNA from 1 species
GACGAACGCUGGCGGCGUGCUUAACACAUGCAAGUCGAACGGAAAGGCCCUGCUUUUGUGGGGUGCUCGAGUGGCGAACGGGUGAGUAACACGUGAGUAACCUGCCCUUGACUUUGGGAUAACUUCAGGAAACUGGGGCUAAUACCGGAUAUGAGCUCCUGCUGCAUGGUGGGAGUUGGAAAGUUUCGGCGGUUGGGGAUGGACUCGCGGCUUAUCAGCUUGUUGGUGGGGUAGUGGCUUACCAAGGCUUUGACGGGUAGCCGGCCUGAGAGGGUGACCGGCCACAUUGGGACUGAGAUACGGCCCAGACUCCUACGGGAGGCAGCAGUGGGGAAUAUUGCACAAUGGGCGGAAGCCUGAUGCAGCAACGCCGCGUGCGGGAUGACGGCCUUCGGGUUGUAAACCGCUUUCGCCUGUGACGAAGCGUGAGUGACGGUAAUGGGUAAAGAAGCACCGGCUAACUACGUG